GACAAUCACCUUAUCUCACCAUCACCACUAUCUUCUCUUCAAGCUAAAUAAUAAAAACAUUUUAAAUCUAAAUUAUUUUUCAUUUGUGAAAUACUAGUGUCACAACCUUCGUGACUCCUGGUCGGGAUUUCAUAUCUCAUUAACGGGUGGUUCACCAGGGAACAAAUGGUUUACAGAAUUAUAAAUGGUGUUUUUAGUUGCAUUGCGGUUCCCUUUCCCGCCAGGAAGGAAGGAGCAUGGUAUCAAAAAUGUUUAGUAGAUGUAUCACAGCUGGCCUCAUCUGCAAUUUGGCGAACAAGUCCCGGUACCCUUUUUUAACUGUAGGUGGAUGGAUGGGCAUUACUCACUCUUGAGACACCAAGAUACUGCCCUUGCCAACGAUAUUGAUGAUUAAUGCUCGAAUGUCCCUGGUGCCAGAAUUUGAGGAAGCUGCUUUCAGCGUCCCUUUGAACAAAGUCACAAGAUGUAAAACUAAAUUUGGGUGGCAUUUGUUGCAAGUUCUUUCUGAAGGGUAUGCCCAAGAAUCCUAUUUCAUCUGGUUUCUGUACCAAGGAGAAGGCAGAGCUGGCACCGGCUCUUACCACGAAUUUGUUUGAUUUCAAUCUGUAAUUUAUGUUACCAGUCUACUUGGAGAAAUCCAAGCAGACAAACUUCAUGUAAAAAAGCAAGAUCCUACGUUUGUCGAAGAAGCUCAAUUGAUUGAUGUUCGAGAACA